rnacentral:rRNA from 1 species
UACGUAGGGUGCGAGCGUUGUCCGGAAUUACUGGGCGUAAAGAGCUCGUAGGUGGUUUGUCGCGUUGUUCGUGAAAUCUCACGGCUUAACUGUGAGCGUGCGGGCGAUACGGGCAGACUGGAGUACUGCAGGGGAGACUGGAAUUCCUGGUGUAGCGGUGGAAUGCGCAGAUAUCAGGAGGAACACCGGUGGCGAAGGCGGUGCUCUGGGCCGGAACUGACGCUGAUGAGCGAAAGCGUGGGGAGCAAACAGG